GUAUGGUAGGGUGCACAGUACAAUACCAGACAAUACCACACAGUGUGGUGAUUUAGGGGCAAGAUAAGGCAGUGGAAGAAAAGAGCCCCCGGAAUGAGAUGUGUAUGAGUGCUCCAUCUGCAUGGAUCCCUGCAUGCUAGAUGAGGGCAGCUGAGCCCAUUACAGGUGACUGUGAGCUAUUAUGUGGUUUGCUGGGAAUUGAACUCAGGACCUCUGGAAGAGUAGCCAGUGCUCUUAACCACUGAGCAGCUCUGCAGCCCCCAAGAUGAGAUAUUGAAGACUGUAUUUGUGUGUCACAGAAGAAUAAGAAGAUAGAGACACAUAAAGGACAAAGCUAGUGACUCUUAAGACACCAGCAUUCAUGAGGGUGUUGCUGUGGUCAUGGUGUCUCUUUACAGCAAUAAAACUCUAAGACAGAUGGGAAGGAAGCCAUGCCCUGCUUCCCUGAACCCAUGAGCAGGAGCCACCUGUCUCACUGCAGAAAGCCCAGCAUCUAAGGCCUUGGACAAAGCACAGCAGAGAACCAUGGUGCUCCUGUUGAGGCAACAAAUGACCUACCAGCACUUGGAGAAUCAACUAGAGGAAGACAGCUGACUCUGAGACAGCUUCCUUGCAGAGCCCUUCCCAGCACUUCAUCUAUGUGUUUUUUCUGUUGCUAAUUUUUCAGUGAAGUUGGAAUUUUACUCCCCUUCCCCCAUUCAGCUGUUUCUCCUAGAUGAGCUUGAGAUCAGCAUUCCAGCCUGCUUCUUACCUACACAUACACCUGGCCUUCCCUACUGUGAGGGAUGCUUUCCAGAGGCAGGAAGAGUGUUCCUCUCAGCCCCUGACUCCAAGAACAUGAUGCAAGGCCACUUGUCCCUACAGAUGGCUUUUUAAAUCAGCCUUUCCUAAACAACAACAACAACAACAACAAAAUGGAGCUCUAAGAAGAUAAAUUGGCAGUGGUAUCACUUGUGAUGUUGCUUGUUGACUGGGUUAUUUCAAACCAACCCCCCAUCCAGCCCUAUAGAUUCUCCCUGCUUCAAGACAAGGCUGAAUUCACCCCAGUGUGGUGCAGCAUCCCCAAGAAGGCCCAGAUGCCAUCCUGUAUCAGCUCCAAUGCUAGUCACAACUCACAGUAAAGGGUCCUCCUUGGGUGUCCUGUAAUUGCAGCUUUGGAACUGGAACAUUACCUGUGAUGACGGUGUUCCCAUGGAAGGGAGGCUGCCACAGCCCAAAAUUGUGCCCAAAUGUAGGAGGCAGUUGGCACUUUCAUGUGCUUAAAGAAUUUCUGUCCUGCUUUCAGAAGUGGCUUUCAAAUAGGUGUUUGGGGGUAGAUUGUUUCAAAGUAUAUACAGUAUAUAUCGUAUUUUACCCCUUUUUAAUUGCACAACUCAGUAACAUUAAGUCCAUUGACAUUGUUGUGUAACGAUCAUCUAUCUCUAGAGUUUCAUCAUGCUAGACUGAAACUCUACACUGAUAGACAUGAAUUCCCUAUGUAACACCCUCUACAACUACCCCUAGGUAACUACCAUCUAUUUUUCUGUCUCUAUGAGUUUUAUUGCUAGGUGAACCUCACAUAAAUAAUAUCAACCUUUGGGGUUUUCCUCAAUGAGUGUAACUAUUUUAAAACCCUUUCACACUGUAGCAUGGGUCAGAAUAAUUACUUCUAAUGAAUGAAUACUAGCCCAUGGUUUAGAUAGACCACAUGUUCUUAACCUAUUUGUCUAUCCAUGGACACUCAGAUGGCAUCUCCAUGGAGGCUGUGAAUUCGGCAGCACAUCCUUCAGUGCUCACUUUCCAAUUCUCUGGGUGUGCGUCUAGAAUUGGGCACUACUCGCUCAUUUGGUAAGUCCAUGGUUAGAGGACUGGCCGUAUGGUUUCCCAUAGCAACUGCUCUACUUUACAUCCCCACCAGCAGGAAACAAGGGUCCCAAUUUCUCUACAUCUUCAUCAUCUUUUGCUAUUUUAAAGAGUCAUUCCAGUGGGCACGGCCUGGGCUUGCAUCUCCUUAAUGUGUAACAUUAGCCGAGCAUCUCUUCGGGUGUUUAGUGGACACUUGUGUGUCUGCUCUGGAGAAUGGCCUGUCCAAGUCCUCCACUUGUUUUUAAGUAGAGCUUUGAUAUUGUGUUAUGAUGAUUGUCAAAUCUCCUUUUUCACCUAGAUUGAGGCAUCCUUAGGAGACAGCAAUGGGCAGCCAGUGCUGGGCUCUUGCUGGGCGGCACCGCAUGCCUGUGGAGCAUCACUGAAUACAACAGCCUCUUUCCCCAAGAAAGCAGUGAGCCACUGAGGCAGCAAUCACAAAGCAGCGUCCCAAACACACUUGGCUCUGCAAGGCAAGAAAGGCCUUGGCCUGGACAGCUCUGGGGACCAAGUGACAGCAGCAGCCCCCUGAAGCUGCACACUGGCCUCACCUAGAGUCCCCCUCCGUGGGAUUCUAAACCCCGAGGCCAGGGUGUUUUCAGCUUUUCACUGUAACACAGUCUCAUCCAGAGAGUGGCUUUUUCCAGGUCAACUCCCCUCCCCAUGCCCCACCCCCAUCGGGGCCAGUGUUACUGAACACCUUUAGGGAAGGAGGCACGGCUUGCAGAUUAGUAUUUUUCAAACGUGCCAAAAUAACCAAAUAAUUUCCAAGUGUAGUCCAGUCGAGGACCCUUGAUGAUUAAA